CAAAUUAUACUUAAAGUUAAGUAUCUCAUUUACACUGAGAUUAAUAUCGGGCAGUUCGAUAUAAUUUGA
rnacentral:tRNA from 1 species